rnacentral:rRNA from 1 species
GAUGAACGCUGGCGGCGUGCCUAAUACAUGCAAGUCGAGCGAACAGAUUAGGAGCUUGCUCCUCUGACGUUAGCGGCGGACGGGUGAGUAACACGUGGAUAACCUAUCUAUAAGACUGGCAUAACUUCGGGAAACCGGAGCUACUACCGGAUAAUAUAUUGAACCGCAUGUUUCAAUAGUUAAAGUCGGUUGUGCUGUCACCUAUCGAUGGAUCCGCGCCGCAUUAGAUAGUUGGGAAGGUAACGGCUUACCAAAGCAACGAUGCGUAGCCGAGCUGAGAGGGUGAUCUGACACACUGGAACUGAACCGCGAUCCAGACUACUACGGGAGGCAGCGGUAGGGAAUCUUCCGCAAUAGGAGGAAGCCUGGCGGAGCAAAGCCGCGUGAGUGAUGAAGGUAUUCGGAUAGUAAAACUCUGUUAUUAGUGAAGAACGAUUGUGUAAGUAACUAUGCACGUCUUGACGGUACCUAAUCAGAAAGCCACGGCUAACUACGUG